AAAGUAUAGUGUUGACAUUUUGCUUCCCACAAAAAUUCAUUCAGAGCAUCUUUUAAAAUUGUUGGUUGCAAAGUACCCAUAACCAGAACUUCCAAUCAUCAUCAUCAUCCAAAAUAAGAAAACAUGGCCAGAAAGAGUCUCUGUAAUGUCCCUGUAAUUGAUCUUGAAGACUUUCCCGGUCAGUCAAAGAAAAUGAUAAGAGGCAUGUGAGGAAUUUGGUUGUUUUAGGAUCAUUAACCACCGUCAAAUUCCUGCCGCCGACACUGGUGAAGGCGGUGACGCAGUCACUAAUGGAGCUUCCGGCAGAAAUUAAGCGGCGGAACAAGGACGUGAUACGCAGCAGUGGGAACCUACCCAGUUCAAUCCUUUAUUUGAGGCCUCAAGCCUAUAUGACAUGGCCUCUGCUCAAGCUGUUGAUGCCUUUUGUACUCAGUUGGAUGCCUCUCCUCUCCAAAGAUCGGUGAACGGCGACGGCAUGUCGUGACCUGCGAUGGCGAAUUGAAGUCGGCGACGAACAUUGGUGGGCUGUCCCUCUCUCCCUCUGUCUUACUCCGAACAUUUGGACUGCGAUUUGAGCCGCAAUUGGAGCCGCGAACCAUAGUUAAAGGUCAAUGUCAAUGUCAAGCACAAAUGCAAGUAUGGACAACAUGUAUGAAGUUAGAUUCGAAAACUGCAAUUGUCGAUGUGGCAAAAAAGUUAUGGUGAAGAUUUCUCAGUCAACGGAUAAUCCAAAUUGCCUUUAUUUUGUAUGCCCCAAUUAUCCGAAUGGUUGUAACUUCUUUCAGUGGUGGAUCCCUCCACAUAUGCAGCAUAAUUUGAAGGUGGUCGAGAAUGAUAUCGAUGAAGAACGCAUGGAAGUCUUGUCUACUCUUAGAGAAGUAAUUAUCGUGAAUGGGGAGUUCAAAGACAUGACUACAAAGAGUAGGAAACAAUAUAGAGACUUGGCAAUGGUGGUUGAAAGAGUUGGUGCAAAAUUGAAUUACGCCUUUGUUUUUUUUGUUUUGUUGUUGGUAGUAGUUGUGAUUUUAGUGUAUUUGAAAUAGUGUGUGUAAUGUAAGGUAGUGUCAGUAUGACUUGUAUUGUAGGUUGAAUGUGUAUGUAAUGUAGUAUGACUUGUAAUGUACGUUGAAUGUGUAUGCAAUGUAUGGUGGACUUGUAAUGUAUGAGUAUGACUUGUAAUGUAUUUUGUAA